rnacentral:rRNA from 1 species
AGCAGUGGGGAAUUUUGGACAAUGGGCGCAAGCCUGAUCCAGCCAUGCCGUGUGCAGGAUGAAGGCCUUCGGGUUGUAAACUGCUUUUGUACGGAACGAAAAGACUCUGGUUAAUACCUGGGGUCCAUGACGGUACCGUAAGAAUAAGCACCGGCUAACUACGUGCCAGCAGCCGCGGUAAUACGUAGGGUGCGAGCGUUAAUCGGAAUUACUGGGCGUAAAGCGUGCGCAGGCGGUUAUAUAAGACAGAUGUGAAAUCCCCGGGCUCAACCUGGGAACUGCAUUUGUGACUGUAUAGCUAGAGUACGGCAGAGGGGGAUGGAAUUCCGCGUGUAGCAGUGAAAUGCGUAGAUAUGCGGAGGAACACCGAUGGCGAAGGCAACCCCCUGGGCCUGUACUGACGCUCAUGCACGAAAGCGUGGGGAGCAAACAGGAUUAGAUACCCUGGUAGUCCACGCCCUAAACGAUGUCAACUGGUUGUUGGGUCUUCACUGACUCAGUAACGAAGCUAACGCGUGAAGUUGACCGCCUGGGGAGUACGGCCGCAAGGUUGAAACUC